UAAAAAAACAAACCCUGUUUUACAUGUCCAACGUUUGACCGUCCGUCUUAUUUGAAAAAAUUAUAAAAAAAAUUAAAAAGACAAGUCACGUAUAAAAUAUUAAUCAUGUUUUAUCAUCUAACAACAAUAAAAAUACGAAUUAUAAAAAAAUAUAUAAGACAGACAGUUAAAGUUGGACACGGAGACCAGGUUUUAUUUUUU
rfam:Oryza nivara chromosome 2, whole genome shotgun sequence.